AGAGUUUGAUCAUGGCUCAGGACGAACGCUGGCGGCGUGCUUAACACAUGCAAGUGGUGCGACGAACCAGGGCUUGCCCUGGGGCAAAGCCGCGAACGGGUGAGUAACACGUGAGUAACCUGCCCCGAUGACCGGGACAACCCGAGGAAACUCGGGCUAAUACCGGAUGUGGCGCACAGGCGUAAGCCUGUUCGCUAAAGGAAGCUUCGGCCUCCGCAUUGGGAGGGGCUCGCGGCCCAUUAGCUUGUUGGUGGGGUAACGGCCCACCAAGGCAACGAUGGGUAGCUGGUCUGAGAGGACGAUCAGCCACACUGGGACUGAGACACGGCCCAGACCCCUACGGGAGGCAGCAGUGGGGAAUCUUGCGCAAUGCGCGAAAGCGUGACGCAGCAACGCCGCGUGGGGGAAGACGGCCUUCGGGUUGUAAACCCCUUUCAGGAGGGACGAAGGCUCACCGGUGAAUAGCCGUGUGAGUUGACGGUACCUCCACAAGAAGCUCCGGCUAACUACGUGCCAGCAGCCGCGGUAAUACGUAGGGAGCAAGCGUUGUCCGGAAUCAUUGGGCGUAAAGCGCGCGUAGGUGGCUUCAUAAGUCCGCUGUGAAAGUCAAAGGCUCAACCUUUGAAAGCCGGUGGAUACUGUGGGGCUAGAGUACCGAAGAGGCGAGUGGAAUUCCUGGUGUAGCGGUGGAAUGCGCAGAUAUCAGGAGGAACACCAAUAGCGAAGGCAGCUCGCUGGACGUUACUGACACUGAGGCGCGAAAGCGUGGGGAGCGAACAGGAUUAGAUACCCCGGUAGUCCUAGCAGUAAACGAUGGCCACUAGGUGUGGGGGGUGUUGACCCCUUCCGUGCCGAAGCUAACGCAUUAAGUGGCCCGCCUGGGGAGUACGGUCGCAAGACUAAAACUCAAAGGAAUUGACGGGGACCCGCACAAGCAGCGGAGCGUGUGGUUUAAUUCGAUGCGACGCGAAGAACCUUACCAAGGCUUGACAUGCACUCGCAAGCCUCCGAAAAGAGGCCCUCCUUCGGGACGGGUGCACAGAUGUUGCAUGGCUGUCGUCAGCUCGUGUCGUGAGAUGUUGGGUUAAGUCCCGCAACGAGCGCAACCCUCGUCCUUAGUUGUCUAUCUAGGGAGACCGCCGGAAACAAACCGGAGGAAGGUGGGGAUGACGUCAAGUCAGCAUGACUCUUACGUCUUGGGCUACACACACGCUACAAUGGCCGUUACAGCGAGAAGCCAGCCCGCGAGGGUGAGCAGACCUCUAAAAGGCGGCCCCAGUUCAGAAUGCACUCUGCAACCCGAGUGCAUGAAGGCGGAGUUGCUAGUAACCGCGUGUCAGCAUAGCGCGGUGAAUAUGUUCCCGGGUCUUGUACACACCGCCCGU
rnacentral:rRNA from 1 species